rnacentral:rRNA from 2 species
GUUGACCUCGGAUCAGGUAGGGAUACCCGCUGAACUUAAGCAUAUCAAUAAGCGGAGGAAAUC